rnacentral:lncRNA from 1 species
AAGCGGUUGGAGUUGAUGUGGAAGAGGGCGAGGUCGCGGAGGAGGCCAAGCUGCUCGGGGAGGAUACCGGCGAUGUUGGCGUGGUUGAGGUCGAUGCCGGCGACGGUGGCAAGGGAGGGCUGGUCGGGAGCAGGAGCACAGUAGACGCCGGUGUAAUUGCAGACGUCUGGGCCGGCCCAGUUGGUGGUGAAGCCCAGUGGGUCGGAGACGAUGACGAGCUUCCAUGAUUGGAGGGCGAUGUAGGCAUCCAUGAGGCGAGGGUUCUGGAUGUAGAUUGGUGGGUAGAUUACUUGUUGAGAUUGGGAUUUUGAUAGCAGCAUCAUCAUCAGAAUGUGAGUGAUUAUCAAAAGCGACGCGAGAUUUCUGGGAGUGAGAUUGGGAUGUGACUGUGAGUUCUUCUUCUUUGUCGUCAUAUUUUGUUUUGUUUUGUUUUUUUAAAGGAAAAGAGGCGCUAAUAAAUGUCGUGUGAGUUGCGAAAUGAAGGGUUUGUUGUUGUUGUUGUUGUUGUUGGUGUUUAAGAAAUGAAAUGAAAUGAAGCCUCCUUGUCUUCUCAUCUCUCUCCCUUCUGUUCUGUACGCGCAAGGUCUUAUAUUAGGGCCAUUGGAUAUAGUUACGUACACAUGACAAAACUGCAACGUGCUUAAAUUCUGUGUGUUUUUUAUUAAAAUAAAUAUUAACAUCAUAACUUUUUAAAUAUGCAAUGGCGGAUCCAGGAUACAAAUAUGCAUUGAGCUGGAUUUAAAUAGAUUUUUUGUAUGUCUAUCGAGUAAGUAAUUGACAAAUUAAUCCUAAUACUAAUUUUUUUAAAUAAAAACAAAUUCAUUGUACUGCUUUUAGUUGAAAAUGUAAUAUAUGUGGCACCGGCGAGUUUUUUGUCUUAUAUUUGAAUAUUUUGAAUUAAAUUUAUGAUUGUUACUUAUUUUAAACAAAUAAAUAGAAGCGCAAAACUUUAAAUAAUAUUACCCGAGUUAUGAAAUCAUCAAAAUUGUACAUAUAAUUUAGUACUCGAGACAAAAAAUAAAAUAUUGUGAUUAUAAUUGAUGUGAAAUAUGAGUAACUUUUUAGGGUGGAUAAAUGAUCGCUAUUGAAUAUGCUCUUACGUAGACACAUUUUUUUAAGUCCAAAGUUGAAAGCCAUAUGAAUCCCCUUAGCAUAUUGAAUUAGUUCCACAGUGUAUGAUAUCACCCAUCUAGUUUCAUUGUAAAUAUUCUGAUGAAGUAACCAUCGUCUUACCUGCCAAAUGAUAUGUAAAACGUCAACAAUAGAAACUCAAGUGUUAAGGCAAUUGUGCAUAUUUCAGUUUUUGUAUAGUUCAAUAAAUAUUUUGGGAUUAAAGAUUGUAUGUAGAUCAUCGUUUGGAGUGGAUAUAGAGGAGGCAUAGAGUGGGCAGGAGUCACAUGAGGGAGCCCCGAAGAGGAACAACUGGUUAGAUUAGAAUUAACGUUAUUGAUGAUGAUGAUGAUGAUGCAGUUUUGCCCUUAUAUAUAUAUUAAAUUGUAGUAUCCUUGGUGGUUGGAUACAUUCAAUUACUCCUCCCACAGACCACAAUAACGUUAUAUACCAUCCUCAUGAUGAAUAUUCAUUUAUCAUUAUUUCUCUGCAAUCACACCUGUCUAUGUUUUCUUAUCCCCCCUUGGUUUUCUAUAUAUACUGUAUUAUAUGCUACAAAAUCAUACGUAUUUGUUACAUAUCAUAAUGCACAAAGCUAGCUCGUUUCUUAUAAGCUGACGUACUACUGGAGUAGGUGGUAAGAAGAAGGAAACUCCCACGACGUACCAUACAUAGGCUGUAGCGAUUUAUGAGAUGGAACCAAACAAUGAAUUUGGUAGCCAGCCAGCCAGCCAGCCUAAUAAACGGACUUGAAAAGUUUUUGGAGUUAAUAAUUAAGGGAUUGUAGUGGGCAUGCAGCAGUAGCUGGACCAGUAGUAGUACGGGUGAGGGGGCGUUUAAUUAUCCUGGAGGUGGGUGCCAUUAAUGUUAUCAUCUCCCUAACUUCAUUAUAGUACAGUUUAACCUAGCUAGCUCUCAAAAUUCCUUUACUCAAGUGUUAUUAUAUAUCAUGCAUAUAUCUUACGUCAAUCCACAUCCUUUGCUUGCUCAACCAAAUCAUGCUUAUAUAUAACUGGAUGUACAAGUUGUGCUCAAACUAUAUGGAAAAUCAAAUGUCCUUUCUUGUCCCCCCCCCCAACAAAAUUCAAAUGUGAAAAGGACCAUGAAUGUUGUUGCUCUAACUUGGGUUUUUACAGGAGGAGGGUUUCAUUGAACCAUAUGUGGGUAAAUGAGGAGACUCCCAAGUCCACAGUACUAUCACAGGGCUGCACGUACGGGUGAGACUUUAUAACAUUUUAGCACCCACUCAACAAACUCUCUCUCUCUCUCUCUCUUUCUCUAGCUUUGCUUUGCAGUGUAUUCAAUUCCAUGACAUUUACUACUACUGCUAUUCUACUGUUAACAGCCAGGGGGGUGCGUUUAUAUGUAACAAACCCUUCAGUUUUCGGGACCAGCUGUUAAUGAUUAAUUUAUUACAUCAAUUAAGAUGCUCUUGCAAAACGUUUCUGCAGCUCAAUGAGGUGAAAACAGACCCACGUACAUCCUUUAAUCCUCGCCAAUGCAAGCGCCAUAUAAUAUUUCUAUUUCUUCUGUGUUUUUAUUCUAGUUCCAACCACAACAUACUUUUCACUUGUUCAUUUGUACAUUGCUUACCAACUCAUAUAUUAGAGUAGUUUAAGUUAUUAUUUUUGUGCUUCCAAUCAUCUUUAUAUUAGAAACCCUUGAAUACGGGUUAACAUCUCAAACAUUAACUUCUACUCGACAGCAAAAGUGAAAGCAAAUAAGAAAUUAUUGUCAAGCAUAACGAAAUAUGCGAAACUAAGAAAGCAAUAAACGAUUGGUGGAGCCCGAGUUUUCGCCGACAGAUCACUCCUCGGGGCAGGACCUGUGGUUCAGACCUGCCGUUGCCAGGUUUUUUGAGUUUUCCUAAAUACUCUUCAUAUGUUUGGAGGGGCUCUCGUUCUUCGCCUCUGUUAGCUGCAACGCAUCAAGCUGUUAUUGCGUUAUUGUAUUCAUAACAAAUGUUGGAGUGCUCGCAAUGGUGAUUGAAAGGAGGGUGGAAAAUUGGCGAUGAUAAUGAUGAUGAUGGAGAUCAACGACGAUGAUGGGGCUCGGCAAUGAUGAUGAUGGUGAAAAAAAAAUGUUGUGAGCGGCGUUGACGCUGAAUCUAAAACCAAAAAUUAUAAAACCUUAAAAAUCGCCUUUCAACAAAAGGAAGACUUUUGCUAACCAAUUUUUUUAUAUUUUUUGGUGAGAAACCGUCUUUUUUUGAUAUGGAAUAUAAGUUACUAACUUGUAGAUCGAAAUCUUUUAAAUAAUUGAUCCAGAUCAUUGUAAUAUUUUUCUCAUAGCAAUGGCUGGGCUUUCACCCUGGGCACUAUUUGGACUUGCUGUCUAACCAAAAUGAAAUUGGGGCACUGAGGUGUAUCCCUCUGGGCCUUGUAAACCACUAAAAUAUAAAUAUCCGAACCUAUAAACCUAAAAUGAUCAACCAGUAAAACUAACUUUCAAGAGUUUAAUUUUAACCAUGAAAAAUUUAGGGGCAGGUUUGAAAUUUAGGAUGAUAGGGUGUUCAGGAUCCAGCCGUCCAGGAUGAUUAUGGAUUGUCGGGUUUUAAGGGUUUGGCCUAUUUAACUAUUUAAUAGAUUUGUAUAAAAAGGAUGUUAAUGUCUUUUCACAUAAAUUAUUUUUAUUUAAAGUUAUUGCCACCUCAUCGGUGACUGCUAACAUCUUUUUCGAGGAUGCUCCGGUGACCGGCCGACGUAUUUUUCGACGACUCCGAUGGCCGGCCAACAUCUUUUCCUUCGAUACUCCGGUGACCGGCCGGUGAAUUUCCCGACGAGCCCCUGAUGACCGGUUAACGCUUUUUCUCACGAGUUUUUGGUGAAAAUUUAUAACCGGUUAUAUUUUAUAAAUUAUAAUCAAUUUUUUAUGACGGUUUAUAAAAAAUAUUAGUUAUAAUCAUUACUAGUUAUUAAAAAAUAUAAUAAGUCAUAAUCUUUACUUAGAACUAGUUAAUAUAUAACUGGUUAGAAUCUCUACUUAUAACAUAUAAUUGGUUAUAAAAGAAAUAUAACUGAUUAUAAAAGAAAAAUAAUUAAUUAUAAUUAUGAUUGAUUAUAAUCGUUACUCGAAUAACUUGUUUGCAACUUCUAAAAUUUAUUGUAAUGAUUCUACACCCUCCUUUUAUCUGCCCCUCGGUGCUUAACUUUUGAAUCUUUAUAAAAUAACCCUCCGUCCUUAACUGUAAAAGGUUCAAAAGUCACUAAUUACGAAAGUAAGGUUCAAAAGUAUUUAGCCAAUAUACAGAUCGGUCACUUAAAUUCAAAAAAUGCAGAAUAGUCACUCUUCCCUACCAAAUUUGAACGUCGUCGAUGAUGACUCCCGUUGUCGCAUCUUCCUCUUCCUCCUCUCCGAUGACGACCUAACUGUCACUGAGACCCACCAUCAUUGAUUCAGAUCGUAAUUUUAGAUAUCUCUUCAGGUCUAAUGGUGAUGAAUCUCCACCUCCGCUGUAAAACUCUCUCUCAACGCUAGUACUCCUCAACAGCUCUUCAGCUCAUCUACGAUGGAUCCUGAUGAAAAUCUUUGAAUCGAUCUCUUUCGACGAUUUGUCGAAAUCAAAUUAGUAGGACUUGGUUAAAGUCAAUAACCGCGCCUCCAAUAAUAAUGUAGAAGAAGGAAACCUUUAAAAAGGGAGGGGAAAAUAAAAAAAGGACAAUACAUAUGAAAUUCUGAAACUUAUUUAUUUGAAUUUUAAACUACUUCCGAAACUUUCAAAGGGGUGCAUCGAUAAUAUAUGCUGUGAAAAUUGUAUUUUUUAUUUCCUCACCAAACAUGUACGUACAUACAACACAAACAAUGAAAUUCAAAGCUUGUCGCCGUUCAACUUAAUAACAGAGUCAUAGAGAAAGAUCACGAAGCCUCCUUUCACAUUUUCCUACCUGCUUUUAUGACGUAUACGUGGAGGAGACCAUCACAGAAGUCAAAAGUUCAAGAGUACUCAUAAUGAUGCACUGGAGGUGGCGGCAACGAUGGAGGUGGUGGAGGCGGGCAGGGAGGCGGCGGAGAGGGAGGAGGUGGUGGCGGAGGUGGCGGAGGUGGCGGCGGCGGUGGAGGUGGAGGCGGAGGUGGAGGUGGAGGCGGAGGUGGAGGUGGAGGCGGAGGUGGAGGUGGAGGCGGAGGUGGAGGUGGAGGCGGAGGUGGAGGUGGAGGCGGAGGUGGAGGUGGAGGCGGAGGUGGAGGUGGAGGCGGAGGUGGAGGUGGAGGCGGAGGUGGAGGUGGAGGCGGAGGUGGAGGUGGAGGCGGAGGUGGAGGUGGAGGCGGAGGUGGAGGUGGAGGCGGAGGUGGAGGUGGAGGCGGAGGUGGAGGUGGAGGCGGAGGUGGAGGUGGAGGCGGAGGUGGAGGUGGAGGCGGAGGUGGAGGUGGAGGCGGAGGUGGAGGUGGAGGCGGAGGUGGAGGUGGAGGCGGAGGUGGAGGUGGAGGCGGAGGUGGAGGUGGAGGCGGAGGUGGAGGUGGAGGCGGAGGUGGAGGUGGAGGCGGAGGUGGAGGUGGAGGCGGAGGUGGAGGUGGAGGCGGAGGUGGAGGUGGAGGCGGAGGUGGAGGUGGAGGCGGAGGUGGAGGUGGAGGCGGAGGUGGAGGUGGAGGCGGAGGUGGAGGUGGAGGCGGAGGUGGAGGUGGAGGCGGAGGUGGAGGCAUGCAACCAAAGGAGCUACAAUGAACAGGGUAAAUCUUGCAUUCACCGGGAUUCCUCUGCAACGGCCGCUCCAACAAACAGUUCUUCCGGUCAUCUUUCGCCGGCAGCCGGAGACAAACGUCGGGUUCCUUAUUAAAGAAAUUGUACGAAUAAGUAAAAUUCUUCAACCGCGGCAACGCGCAGAUACCAGACGGUAUCUUCCCGGACAGCCUGUUGUGGGCCACAUUCAACUGCUCCAACUUGGUCAUCCUCACCAUCGAUUCCGGAAGGGGACCCACGAGGUCAUUAUUGCUGACGUCAAACACCUUCAGCUGAUCCAAUGCCCCUAAAUUGGGCUGCAAACACCCCCUCAGGCCCAUAUUGCUCAAAAUCACCUGGGUCAACGUGGGACCCAUCGUCAACAGACUCGCCGGGAUGCACGACCCGCCGAAGUUGUUAUUCGCCAACACCAACACCGACGCCGUCGAGUUCCCCAAGUUAGAAGGCAGCGACGACGUGAACCCGUUGUCAUUUAUGAAGAUGGCGUCAAAAUUGGUCUCAAACAGCUUGGAAGGGACGUUUCCUUGGAACUGGUUGAACCUUAUGUCUAGGAACUUUAGAGAAGGAAGUUCGAACACGACGGAAGGGAAUUCGCCGGAGAAUCGGUUGUUGCUUAUAUCGAGCUCGAAGAGGAGCUUGAGGUAGCGGAAGUUGUACGGGAGGGUUUUAACGAAGCGGUUGGAGUUGAUGUGGAAGAGGGCGAGGUCGGUGAGGAGGCCGAGAUCCUCCGGGAGGUAGCCUGAGAUGUUAGCGUGGUUGAUGUCUAUUCCGGCGACAGUUUGGAUUUUAGGGUCUUCGGGGGC